rfam:Triticum aestivum genome assembly, contig: Triticum_aestivum_CS42_TGACv1_scaffold_603355_7DL
CUUCUACUCCCUCCGUUCGAAAAAGCCUGUCUCUCAAAUGGAGGUAUCUAGCACUAAAUUAAUGCUAGAUGCAUCCAUUUAAUGUACAAGCUUGGGACAAGUUUUUUCGGACGGAGGAAGUACGAC